GAUGAACGCUAGCUACAGGCUUAACACAUGCAAGUCGAGGGGCAUCAGGAAGAAAGCUUGCUUUCUUUGCUGGCGACCGGCGCACGGGUGAGUGACACGUAUCCAACCUGCCCUUUACUCGGGGAUAGCCUUUCGAAAGAAAGAUUAAUACCCGAUGGCAUAAUGAUUCCGCAUGGUUUCAUUAUUAAAGGAUUCCGGUAAAGGAUGGGGAUGCGUUCCAUUAGGUUGUUGGUGAGGUAACGGCUCACCAAGCCUUCGAUGGAUAGGGGUUCUGAGAGGAAGGUCCCCCACAUUGGAACUGAGACACGGUCCAAACUCCUACGGGAGGCAGCAGUGAGGAAUAUUGGUCAAUGGGCGCUAGCCUGAACCAGCCAAGUAGCGUGAAGGAUGAAGGCUCUAUGGGUCGUAAACUUCUUUUAUAUAAGAAUAAAGUGCAGUAUGUAUACUGUUUUGUAUGUAUUAUAUGAAUAAGGAUCGGCUAACUCCGUGCCAGCAGCCGCGGUAAUACGGAGGAUCCGAGCGUUAUCCGGAUUUAUUGGGUUUAAAGGGAGCGUAGGUGGACUGGUAAGUCAGUUGUGAAAGUUUGCGGCUCAACCGUAAAAUUGCAGUUGAUACUGUCAGUCUUGAGUACAGUAGAGGUGGGCGGAAUUCGUGGUGUAGCGGUGAAAUGCUUAGAUAUCACGAAGAACUCCGAUUGCGAAGGCAGCUCACUGGACUGCAACUGACACUGAUGCUCGAAAGUGUGGGUAUCAAACAGG
rnacentral:rRNA from 1 species